UACGGAAGGCAGCAGUGGGGAAUAUUGCACAAUGGGCGCAAGCCUGAUGCAGCCAUGCCGCGUGUAUGAAGAAGGCCUUCGGGUUGUAAAGUACUUUCAGUCGUGAGGAAGGUGUUAAGGUUAAUAACCUUAGCAAUUGACGUUAGCGACAGAAGAAGCACCGGCUAACUCCGUGCCAGCAGCCGCGGUAAUACGGAGGGUGCGAGCGUUAAUCGGAAUUACUGGGCGUAAAGGGCACGCAGGCGGUUAAUUAAGUUGGAUGUGAAAUCCCCGGGCUUAACCUGGGAAUGGCAUUCAAGACUGGUUAGCUAGAGUCUUGUAGAGGGGGUUAGAAUUCCAUGUGUAGCGGUGAAAUGCGUAGAGAUGUGGAGGAAUACCGGUGGCGAAGGCGGCCCCUGGGACAAAGACUGACGCUCAUGUGCGAAAGCGUGGGGAGCGAAAC
rnacentral:rRNA from 1 species